AGGGAUGCCACUUUUCCGUAUUUAUACGGAAUUCCGGCUUUUUUCCUGCUAUCUGUCUUAUUUCCGUAUUUCCGACUUUUCCUGUUUUCUGUGUAUUAAAAAAAACGGAAAGUCCUCCUUUUUUCCCCCUAUUUCUUCCGAUUGCGAUGCAUGUCGAUCGACCGAGUGAGAGAUAUUCCCCCGAGAUAUUUGCUUUUAUACAGUACAUAAAUUAUAAACGCGCGCACUGCCUACUACGUUCAUUGAGUUAUGCUUUUAUCAAGGCUUUCUGAUUAGAAUUAUCGAUAUCCUGGCCAAUCAAUGCGAGCGACAAGUUCCAAACGCACGCACAUAGACAAGCACAAAGUAGCGGCACGAAUCGCGGUAUAAUAGCGACUGAUAAAUACGUCUGUACAGAUGAUGACGUCAUCCAAGAUGGCAACUUACGAUGACCAACGAAGGAAUCGAGGAUGACUAAGUUUUGAUCAUCAUUUGAAAGGAAUUAGCGGUAACUGCGGUCUAAGCGUUCUAUGAGAAACACACAACUAACUACCGUCAGUUUUUCAAACCUAAUUGACUUCAAAGUCAUCGAUCACAACAAG